AAGGAUAAAGCUAUCAUCUUCAGUUUUGAGAGACUUAAGAAAGUUUUUCAUUCUUUUAAGAUUUGGGCCUAUAGCUCAGCUGGUUAGAGCACACGCCUGAUAAGCGUGAGGUCGGUGGUUCAAGUCCAUUUAGGCCCACCAAAAUAGGUCACAUCUUAAAAAAAGCUCUUUGAAAAGUAGAUAAAC
rnacentral:misc_RNA from 1 species